CCACCGAUGAUACCACGGCCAACUCUGUGUUCGUUAACCUGUUGUAAGCCAGCUCGAACUCCUUCACGAUCUCCUUGAUCAUAUCGAUCCGCUUACUCUCGACUAAGAUGUUGAUGAAAUUGCAGACGUGUACUUGGAGUUUACCUGAUGCAGUGAUAUCAUCGAGCAAUGCUCGUUUGUCUUCGAGGCUUACGAUUGGGCUCACGAAGUAACUGAGUAAGCUGUCUUCUGAGAAGAGUUGAUCGACCAAUUCGACGUCUUUGACAGUCUGCUCUAGUGUUCCAUUUGCGACUGCAACCUCCAACAGUGCUGCGGCGUAACUUCCUGCGGCGGAAUCAGCCAUCUUAGCUCCGG
rnacentral:lncRNA from 1 species